CGUGUCCGUGGUGAUGUCUUUUUAGUCUCGACUUUGAGAGUAAGCCGCUGAAUGUUCGGUAGAGCGUGAACUUCCGGUGGAGGUGGUGGCCGUGACCGUGGUGAGGAUUCUUUUUGUGUUUGAAGUUGAUGAUGUCUUUUAAAAGGGUUUUGAGGUAAUUGUAAUCCAUGUAGGUUUCGUGCCAUUCAGGCACCAUCUGCGACGAGAACUCUUUCCCGAACUUCAUUCUUCUUCCCUCUUCUGUUCUUGUCUGAAAGAUAAUCUUUUGGUUCUUUUCUCUCUUGUUUUUUUUUUGUGAGGUUAAGAGUAGUA
rnacentral:lncRNA from 1 species